rnacentral:rRNA from 1 species
GCGGCAAGAGCUCAAAUUUGAAAGCUGGCCCCUCCGGGGCCCGCGUUGUAAUUUGCAGAGGAUGCUUUGGGUGCGGCCCCCGUCUAAGUGCCCUGGAACGGGCCGUCAGAGAGGGUGAGAAUCCCGUCUUGGGCGGGGUGUCCGUGCCCGUGUAAAGCUCCUUCGACGAGUCGAGUUGUUUGGGAAUGCAGCUCUAAAUGGGUGGUAAAUUUCAUCUAAAGCUAAAUACUGGCCGGAGACCGAUAGCGCACAAGUAGAGUGAUCGAAAGAUGAAAAGCACUUUGAAAAGAGAGUUAAACAGCACGUGAAAUUGUUGAAAGGGAAGCGCUUGCGACCAGACUCGCCCUCGGGGUUCAGCCGGCACUCGUGCCGGUGUACUUCCCCGGGGGCGGGCCAGCGUCAGCUUGGGCGGCCGGUCAAAGGCCUCCGGAAUGUAGUGCCCCCCGGGGCACCUUAUAGCCGGAGGUGCAAUGCGGCCAGCCUGGGCUGAGGAACGCGCUUCGGCACGGACGCUGGCAUAAUGGUCGCAAACGACCCGUCUUG